rnacentral:rRNA from 1 species
UACGGGAGGCAGCAGUGAGGAAUAUUGGGCAAUGGGCGAAAGCCUGACCCAGCCACGCCGCGUGUGUGAUGAAGGCCUUCGGGUCGUAAAGCACUGUCGAGUGGGAAGAACCUGAUGGAUGAUAAUACCAUCCUUCAUUGACGGUACCACUAAAGGAAGCACCGGCUAACUCCGUGCCAGCAGCCGCGGUAAU